rnacentral:rRNA from 1 species
CAGUAGCCGCGGUAAUACAGAGGGUGCAAGCGUUAAUCGGAAUUACUGGGCGUAAAGCGCGCGUAGGUGGUUUGUUAAGUUGGAUGUGAAAUCCCCGGGCUCAACCUGGGAACUGCAUCCAAAACUGGCAAGCUAGAGUAUGGUAGAGGGUGGUGGAAUUUCCUGUGUAGCGGUGAAAUGCGUAGAUAUAGGAAGGAACACCAGUGGCGAAGGCGACCACCUGGACUGAUACUGACGCUGAGGUACGAAAGCAUGGGGAGCAAACAGGAUUAGAUACCCCAGUAGUCCCUGUCUCUUAUAU